rnacentral:rRNA from 1 species
AAGCGUUGUUCGGAUUUACUGGGCGGAAAGGGCGCGUAGGCGGCAAUUCAAGUCAUCUGUGAAAUCUCCGGGCUUAACCCGGAACGGUCAGGUGAUACUGUUUUGCUAGAGUGCGGAAGGGGCAAUCGGAAUUCUCGGUGUAGCGGUGAAAUGCGUAGAUAUCGAGAGGAACACCAGAGGUGAAGACGGGUUGCUGGGCCGACACUGACGCUGACAGCGCGAAAGCCAGGGGAGCAAACGGG